CACCGCUGUUGAACUCGAUGCUUCAACAGCCAGCGCGGUGCUGCUGUUGAUGCAGGGGCGGAAGCUCGUCGGAGAAGGCCGACUGCACCAUGUCGUGGUUGUAUUGGUUGCUUGCGUACCCGGAUGCCGGCACGUGUCCUUGGAGGUCGAAAACAACAGCAUCGUUGUAUGAGCUUGAACUUUUCCUGGAAGCAUGACACAUAACAAAAUCAUCUUGUGUAAUGAAAAAUGUGACUGGUGUCAUCUUAAGUAGUCAAUAAUAUAUCUGAAGAAACAAAAGCAUGUGCCUAGGCACCAAAAUUCAGCAGGUAUGUUUUUACUUGUCGGUUAUAGCGAGACUGAAUAGGAUGAGGAGCUUCACUAAUAAAAAGAGAUGCUACAGCUAAAUGGAAGUGAAUGUAUCGCAAGGAAGGAAGAGUUUUGCUAUUACAAAUUGUAAGAAACUGAUAAUUAGAGCAGAUUACUUGUCCCCUGCCACUUGCCCGUCUCACAGGCCUGCUCCUUCCCCCUGUCGCCGGCCUCCUCCCCUGCAGCUCCACCCUAUCCCUACGGGAGCGCCGCCUGUAGCUCUGCCCCCGCUGAUGGACCAACACCAACCCACGAGCAAUUACCAAAGGGGUUGAGAAGGGAUGAGGCUAGCAGAUGCUCACCUCGUGCUCCUCCUGCUUGGCGGAAGAGGCAGCAGUGCACGAACUCCAAACUCCAAUCGCCAGGUCGCGCCCGACCUCUCCGGCGCAGGCCGACGCCAGCGGAGACCCUCCGAAGCCACACCUCCCUCUCUCUCCUGCAGAUUGAAUCCAGCACCGCCGCCGUCACCAGGAAGCUCGCCUCCGCACCGGCGGCGGACAAGAUGCGAUGGGGGGGAGACUGAGAUGGGAGGAGGAGGAGGAGGAGGCGGCGGCUAGGGGAAGCCCGGGAGGCGACUGAGGUGGGAGGAGGAGGAGGGGGCGGCGAUGGGAGGAGAAGGGGCGGCGGCUAGGGUUGUGAGGAAG
rnacentral:lncRNA from 1 species